rnacentral:other from 1 species
AAACCCCUGCGGUGUACGUGAGGUCAUCAUCCACCUGGACCGUUAAUCGUGGCCAUCGGAGCCAAGCUCUGACCGUGGAGAGCGAGCCUACUCGGCUUACCAGAUGCGGUCAUCCCAGCUCCACCCUUACACAAGGGUUCAUGGCGGUUGUCAACCCACGGCACAGGCGGGGGUUUG